rnacentral:lncRNA from 1 species
GGCAUUGCCAAAUUAUUUGUUUUAAGCGAAAAACAUUUGAACUCAUGGGAAACAUUGAAGUUUGCGCUGUUGAAUGAGUUUCAGUCGAAGGUAAAUAGCAAACAGAUACACAUGCAACUCAACGAGAGUAAACGACGACCGAAAGAGAAUGUUCUGGAAUAUUUUUAUCGCAUGAGAGAUAUUGCUGCAAGAGNUGCAAUACGUGAUUGACGGUGUCGACGAGAUGGCAUUAAAUAAAUCUAUUUUAUAUGGUGCGAAAAAGAUGUCUGAUUUUAAGGACAAAUUAAAAGAUUAUGAGAAAAUAAACGAGAAAAUAAAAAAGAGUGAGAAGACGGGAAGAGAUAAGAAGAUGUCGGUUGGACAAAAUUAUACCCAGACUGGCAAAAAAGACGUAGUGUGUUAAGACUGCGGAGAGAAGGGUGAUGUGUCUAGCAGUUGCUCGAGCAAAGAGAAGGGAAAAAAGUGCUUCAAGUGCAAUCAGUUUGGGCACAUUUCAAAGAAUUGCAAGGAGAAAAGUGAGAAGGCAAACGAAGAAAAACAAAACUUGCGUGUAAUUUUGAAUAGAGCGGAAUUGACAUCCAAAGAAGUUUCGAUUAAAAAUAUGAAAUGUAUGGCACUAUUUGACAUUGGCAGUAAAUUCAAUAUUUUGCGCGAAGACUUUUACUGUGUAUGCCAAAAUUAAAGAACUGCAGAGUGCGCUUGGUCGGUUUCGGAAGUGAAAGCAAGGCUGACUAUAUCAAGCCGAUUGGUCAAGUAGUACAUAGCAUACGUAUUGACGACGAAGAAUAUGUUUUGAAAUUUUAUGUUGUUGCAGCUAAGUUCAUGGAAGAUAAUCGGGGAAGAGCUUUGUUUGCACGCAGAAGUAUCAUUUAAUCGCCAUGGAGUAAAAGUUAAUAAAAUGCCAAAUGAAAAUAAUGAAGGUGCGUGUGACGGAUCGUCCAUAAUGAAAAUCGACGUAACGGUGGACAAUUCUGAACUGAACAUAAACGAAGCGAUAAACGAGAUUACACGAAAAGAAGUUUGCGAAAUAGUAACGACGUAUAAACCGGAAAAAUCAAAAACAAGAAAAUAUGACGUGCCGCUGCAGACCUAUCACAUCGACUUUUUGGGUCCACUGGAGUCAACCAGAAAGAGCUACAAACACAUACUUGUUGUUAUCAACGCUUUCACGAAGUUUUGCUGGCUAUACCCUACAAAGUCUACUACAUCUAACGAGGUCAUAUUAAAGUUACGCAGCCAAAGCGUGACGUUUGGCAACCCUGCUUGUAUCAUUUCAGAUAGAGGUUCGGCGUUUACCGCACAAGAUUUCCUACAGCACUGCGAAGACGAAAAAAUUAAACUGGUGAAGACGACUACCGGACUGCCACGGGUAAACGGGCAGGUGGAAAGGCUCAACUCAGUGAUCAUCUCCGUGCUAGCCAAGCUCAGUGUAGACGAUCAAUCCAAAUGGUUUAAGCACGUAGAUCGAGUCCAGCGAGCAAUAAACUCGACGUACACCAGAAGCAUCGAUACAACUCCUUUCGAGCUUCUGAUGGGUAUCAAGAUGCGCACCAAAGAUGACAGGCAGCUUCAGAGUUUGAUCCAGAAGGAGUCCAUCAUUGCAUUUGAAGACGACCGCAAUGAGCUACGGGCUAAAGCGAAAACUCAAAUUCUGAAUCUGCAAGCCGAGAACAAGAAGACGUAUAACUUGAGACGUAAACCACCCAGACAUUACGACGUUGGCGACCUAGUUGCCAUAAAGAGGACUCAGUUUGGAAGCGGACUCAACCUUAAGCCAAAGUUUUUGGGUCCUUACCAGAUCAUUAAGGUGAAGCAUAACAAUGCUUACGACGUCAAAAAAGUUGGCAAUUCCGAUGGUCCAAAGCACUCCUCUUCGUGUGCGGAGUACCUGAAGCCAUGGUCCACGAGCAAUGACGACGAUAGCGACGAUGCAUUCGAGGCGAGUGCAUAGUCAGGACGGCCGGAUGUAGGCUGGGUUUUGCAAAAUUGCGAUCCCUAGACAAAACACCAAAACGAGCAAGGACGAAUUCGCGCCACUGCGAAUUCCAAACAAGAGAGCAAACGCAAAGAGAAGACGAAGGAGAGCGAGAUGAGAGCGAGAGCGGACAACCGAUCGGCGAGAGAACGCUGAGAAGGGUUUUUUCUAUCCAACCUCCGACGUAAAAGGUGUGCGAGACCAGACGACGAACGACGCAGAUAUCUAAUUCUUGUACCGUUAUACCAUACUUAAUCACUUAUUAACCUUUACUUAUAAACAAUAAACAUAAACCCCCACAUAUAUAUACUUUAUUGGGUCGGAAACGCUUCCUUCUGUGCGAUACAUACAACCGUUAUUCGCACAAAUACAAUAUACCCUAUUUACUCUUUGAGUGCCGGGUAUAAAAAUGCAUUUGCAAAAGCUUUACCCAGACGGUAGGC